GAGUAAAACAAUUUUGUCGUUCAAAGUAUUUUCAAAUUUAUAAUAGAACAAUAUAUAAAUAACACAUAGCCGAGAGGGUGAUAGAGCAGAUUGUUACCACGAGAAAACAUUGUCAACCGCGGCGAAUAACAUUAUGACAUAUAAUAGACUAAUAACAUAAUGGCGGGAUCUUUAAAAGUACAGAGUCACGUCAUAUGAACCAAAGAAACACAUAAAAAAGUCGCACAUACAGAACACACCAGGAAAAAUGAAACAUCAUUGACGGGAUGUAUAAGCACCGAGCCAUGUCAAAUGGAUAUCACAGAAAACACACCAAACAGUAAAAGUAAUAGUAAUAAUAUAACAAAGACAAGUAAAAGAACAAUAAUACACGUUGUUAAGAUUAUAAACAACGUCAGUACGCA
rnacentral:lncRNA from 1 species